UUCUUGCAGUACUUACAAUGGACAUUUCUGAGCAUAACUAAUCUCUUUUUUUUUUUAUUUUGGUCCUAUUCGCAUCAGCACCAAUCCAGUGCUUUGAAAUGAAUUCAAAUGCUGUGCUCUUUGAAGGGAUGAGGAUUAAAGCUUAAGCUGGGUCCAGGGAUGAGGUGAGAGGAAAAAACCCUCACAAAUCCGAUGCUUUUUUUCCUCCUAAGAAGUGAAAAGCAAUGAGCUGUACUAUAUAAAAGAAAGGAAACGGUUGCGUUUCAUCCUUUCCAAAGACCUCAAAAGCUACUAGAUUAUCAUUAAAAAAUAAACACAUUUUCAAAGGCCAUUAGCCCGAGGGGAGGUCCUGAGUCGUCCAAAGGUUCUCCAGCGGGCAAGCAAGAAAGACAGCACUCCUGCCCCGAUCCGUACACACUGGAGCAUCCAGGGCUGAAUUUCUUUCCAAUGGAAGUUGUUAUUUGAAUCUAGAAGUGUUGCUAAAAUGGAUUCAUCAAGCCAUUUUUUAGUGGAAAGGGCUUCAUGGAUGAUGACCUGCUGGAAGUUGGCCGACAGCUGAAAGGAAGAACGACCCUGUUCAGUCCUGCUCAUUAUGCCUGCCAGAGAUCAAGAACACCUUGACCAAUCAGGAGAGGGGAUCUUCAUACAAGGAAAGGGGACUUUUGUACAAGGAGAGGGGACCUUUAUUCACCUUCCUGUACUCUUUCUUCCAAGCUAGUUUUUAACUUCAGGAAAGUAUCACUCUUCUGUGGCUGCUUAAUAUUUAAUUGGCUAUGUAAUAUGGCUAUGUAAUAUUUAAAUGUAGCCAAGUGUUUAGGGAUGAAGGUCUCUGACUCUGCCCCUCACCACACUUGGGACCUUAGGAAAGUUAUUUAACUUCUUUAACCAUCAUUUGUAAACUAUGUUUGUUGGAAGGAAUAAUUCUGUUUUUAAUGUAUAAAGUACAUAGUAUGGGACCUAUAAUAUAAGAGGUGUUCAAUAAAAAGUUAUUGUUAUCGUUACUAAGAUUUUUUAUACUUAACAACCACAUAGAAAUGUCAUGUUGUCUGAUUUGUUCACUGCUGUAUUCCCUGGGUCAGUGCCUGAUGUUUAGUAGAUACUACUAAAUAAAUGCUAA